rnacentral:rRNA from 1 species
AUUGAACGCUGGCGGCAGGCCUAACACAUGCAAGUCGAGCGAGCGGCGGACGGGGGAGUAAUGUAUGGGGACUGCCCGAUAGAGGGGGAUAACACUAGGAAACGGGAGCUAAUAUAGCAUACUAUCGGAUAAUCCAGAUGGGAUUAGCUAGUGGGUGAGGGAAUGGCUCACCUAGGCGACGAUCCCUAGCUGGUCUGAGAGGAUGAUCAGCCACACUGGGACUGAGACACGGCCCAGACUCCUACGGAGGCAGCAGUGGGGAAUAUUGCACAAUGGGCGCAAGCCUGAUGCAGCCAUGCCGCGUGUAUGAAGAAGGCCCUAGGGUUGUAAAGUACUUUCAGUCGGGAGGCGUUACCGACAGAAGAAGCACCGGCUAACUCCGUGCCAGCCGCCGCGGUAAUAC